CCCAAUUGGUGAAGAUUUGACGAAAUUAAAUAUUUAAUUAUAUAUUAUUACGUACACCCUAACAGGCUCUCCUCAUUCUAUUAUAUAAACAUGAACGUAUGGCUACAGAAAAAUUAAUAAUUCAUUCAGAAAAAAAAAAUCUGUGCUGCUCUAUAAAAUUAUAAACCAGUAGUUUUUAUCAUAAUAUUCUCACGUAUUUAUUAAGUUUCUAGCAAAUUCAUAUAUGGAUAACCACACUUCGUUCAACCCAAGAGAGACAGCCGGGAAGAUCAUCACUUGCAAUGGUAAGAAUAUUUCAAUGGUAUAUGCUCACUACGUAGCUCUCUUAUUUUGUUUGAUAAGCAAAGUGUGGUCUGUGCUGAAGCUGCCGUCGUGAGGGGUCCAAAACAACCUUUUGUCCUGGAAAGGAUUCAAGUUGACCCCCCCAAGAAGAUGGAGGUCCGAAUCAAGAUCCUCUAUACUUCUAUUUGUCAUACUGAUCUCAGCUGUUGGAAAGGCGAGAAUGAAGCUCAGCGAGCAUUUCCGCGAAUACUAGGCCAUGAAGCUGUCGGGUAAGUCCUGUAUAUAUAAUUUCCAUGAACGAAUUGCUUAAUGCUUCAUUAUAUUAUCAUAUUUUUCUCCUUGGAUAUGGAUAUGGAUAUGGAUAUUGCAGAGUGGUUGAGAGCGUAGGAGAAGGGGUCACUGACGUGAAAGAAGGAGAUCACGUGAUCCCAAUCUUUAAUGGAGAAUGCGGUGAUUGCAUCUACUGCCAAAAAGGAACGACUAAUCUGUGCGGAAAAUUUAGAGUAAACCCACUCAAGAGCGUAAUGGCAAAUGAUGGAAAGUGUAGGUUUUCAAGCAAGGAUGGGGAACCCAUAUAUCAUUUUCUCAACACCUCCACUUUCACAGAGUACUCGGUGCUUGACUCGGCUUGUGUUGUGAAGAUUGAUCCUAAAUCCCCACUGAAGAAGAUGAGCUUGUUAAGCUGUGGUGUGUCUACAGGGGUGGGAGCUGCAUGGAAGGCUGCUGAUGUACAGGCUGGAUCAAGCGUGGCAGUUUUCGGAUUGGGUACCUUAGGACUCGCUGCAGCUGAAGGAGCACGAGCCAGAGGAGCAUCGAAAAUCAUAGGUGUUGACAUCAACCCAGACAAAUUCGACAAAGGCAGAACCAUUGGAAUUACAGAUUUUGUAAAUCCCAAGGAUAGCUCAAAGCCGGUGCAUGAGAGAAUCAGGGAAAUGAGUGGUGGAGGCGUAGACUACAGCUUCGAAUGCGUAGGAAACUUGGAAAUUCUUCGAGAAGCUUUCUUGUCCACUCACGAUGGCUGGGGAAAGACGGUGUUAGUGGGAAUUUAUCCAAGUCCGAAAUUGUUGCCUAUCCAUCCAAUGGAGUUGUUUGAUGGUCGGACCAUCACCGGAACAAUCUUCGGCGACGUCAAAGGAAAGACCCAGCUGCCUGAUCUUGCCAGAGAUUGCCUGCAAGGGGUUGUAAAUCUAGAUGGGUUUAUAACGCAUGAACUUCCCUUCCACAAGAUAAACGAAGCCUUUGGGCUUCUCACGGAUGGCAAGGCCUUAAGAUGUCUUCUACACCUUUGAUUGUUUUCCUAGCAAUAUUUUAUAUAUUGUAUUUCAAUUAAACAAUAUCUUAUUUACAAGUGCGCUGCACGAUUUAAUUGUAUUGAAAAGGAACUUUUAAAGAAA
rnacentral:misc_RNA from 1 species